GCAUAAGUGAUUAUAACUGCAGUUAGAAAAUAGAGGAAAAGUGUAGAUGAAUGCAGCUUCCAAGACGAUUCUUCCCAGCAAGUAGAAUAUUCCCCAAGCAUGAGCCUAGACUUCAUGAAGGGUGUAACAGGAAUGAUUUGUAUUGAGGCCACACUGGCUUUUAUGAGAAUCCUCCUGCAAGAGGACCUCCCACAGUAAACAAAGACAAUAACCAAUCAACAUACAGAUUUACAGUAACACCCGCCCUCUCUCUGCCUGGGAGAUAUUGAGAUAAGUUAAGGAAUAACUCAAUUAUCUCCAGGCAGAGGGCACACAAUUUUCCCAAAAGUUAGAACACCCCUUUACACACAAGGUAUCCCCACAAAUUACAUAUCCCCUGAUAGGCCCGAUCUGGGGGACCA